rnacentral:rRNA from 1 species
UACGAAGGGUGCUAGCGUUGUUCGGAAUUACUGGGCGUAAAGCGCGCGUAGGCGGCUUUUCAAGUCAGGGGUGAAAUCCUGGGGCUUAACCCCAGAAUUGCCUUUGAAACUGUAAAGCUAGAGUGUCGGAGGGGAUAGCGGAAUUGCUAAUGUAGAGGUGAAAUUCGUAGAUAUUAGCAGGAACACCGGUGGCGAAGGCGGCUAUCUGGACGACAACUGACGCUGAGGCGCGAAAGCGCGGGGAUCAAACAGG